UACGUAGGGUGCGAGCGUUAAUCGGAAUUACUGGGCGUAAAGGGUGCGUAGGCGGGUCUUUAAGUCAGGGGUGAAAUCCUGGAGCUCAACUCCAGAACUGCCUUUGAUACUGAAGAUCUUGAGUUCGGGAGAGGUGAGUGGAACUGCGAGUGUAGAGGUGAAAUUCGUAGAUAUUCGCAAGAACACCAGUGGCGAAGGCGGCUCACUGGCCCGAUACUGACGCUGAGGCACGAAAGCGUGGGGAUCAAACAGG
rnacentral:rRNA from 1 species